UUGAGCCGUAUGCGGUGAAAGUCGCACGUACGGUUCUUAGGGGGCCCCGAACCAGUAAUGGUUCGGGGCUACCCGAC
rnacentral:ncRNA from 1 species